rnacentral:rRNA from 1 species
AACGCUGGCGGCGUGCUUAACACAUGCAAGUCGAACGCGAAAGCUUCCUACGGGAAGCGAGUAGAGUGGCGCACGGGUGAGUAACACGUGGAUAAUCUGCCCGACGAUCUGGGAUAACAUUCCGAAAGGAGUGCUAAUACCGGAUAAGCCCACAGGCUCUUCGGAGUUUGCGGGAAAAGGUGGGGACCUUCGGGCCUACCGUCGUCGGAUGAGUCCGCGUCCCAUUAGCUAGUUGGCGGGGUAAUGGCCCACCAAGGCGACGAUGGGUAGCUGGUCUGAGAGGAUGAUCAGCCACACUGGAACUGAGACACGGUCCAGACUCCUACGGGAGGCAGCAGUGGGGAAUUUUGCGCAAUGGGGGAAACCCUGACGCAGCAACGCCGCGUGGGUGAUGAAGGCUUUCGGGUCGUAAAGCUCUGUCAGAGGGGAAGAAACUCUUGUGGUCGAACAGGCCACAGGAUUGACGGUACCCUCAAAGGAAGCACCGGCUAACUCCGUGCCAGCAGCCGCGGUAAUACGGAGGGUGCGAGCGUUGUUCGGAAUUAUUGGGCGUAAAGCGCGUGCAGGCGGCCUGUUAAGUCUGAUGUGAAAGCCCGGGGCUCAACCCCGGAAGUGCAUUGGAUACUGGCAGGCUUGAGUAC